rnacentral:misc_RNA from 1 species
CAAAUGAGACAUAAUAAAUUACUAUUCUAAUCAAACCAAAUAUGAAAAAAAAUAAAAAGAGAUAAAACCAGAGUUAGUAAACAGGGAUGAAUUAACCAAAUGAGCUUCUUGGAACAGUGGCUAAGCAAUGAAGUCAAAACCUAGUCUAAGUGCAUCGAUGGGGCAGUGGGGAGCUAUUUGCAGGUAUCCCGAAAACCUUGUAAGCCCAAAGGGUAAGUUGAAGCGAACAAGUCUUUGAUGGUAAGCAACGUUUAGAUUUCAGGUUCCGAUUGUUAAAGGAAGGAGCUGCUGGUGCGUAAUAAGAAGCUCUGCUGAGGUAGUUUGAUGCCCGUUAUUGAGAAGGGAUGGAGGAAUCAAAGCUAUUCGAGACAAAAAAACGUCGUGAGUGAAACAAGAUGGAUUCUACUUCUCAUGAUGUCAAAUGGGUAUGUGCGUAUAAGUUUAGAAGCCUAGUUUAGAUAUAUGAGCUGAAAUUUCAAAUGGAUGAGUCAAAGGCUGUGACUCACAAGAAGAGGAGAGAAUGAUUGAGGUUCAAGGUCAGGGGAAAAGCUAUGGGUUCUGAUCUAUAUGGCUUUCGUUGGAGGGAUGUUGUGAAGGGGAAGAGGUAAG